AUGGUACUAGGAUGGAGCAACGAACUUACAACGCAACAAGAUGAUAAGGGAAGUACAGCUCUUCACUUAGUUGCAUCUAUGCCACGUCAAAAAGAGCGACGAGACAUACGUUUACUUCUACUGGAAGCCAAUCCAGAUGCAUUAUAUCAGAUGGACAAUGAUGGAUCAUUCCCCAUACACGUGGCUGCAUCCGUUGGCUCAAGAAUUACCAUCAAUGUCUUUCUUCAGAAGUCGCCCAAUUGCGCUGGUCUACGUGAUGCUAGGGGAAGGACAUUUCUUCAUGUUGCAGUUGACAAAAUGCAAACAUGGCUGGUCUGGUCUGCUUGCAGAAACCAGUCGUUAUCAUGGAUUUUAAAUAUGCAAGACAAUGGUGGAAACACUGCACUGCAUUUAGCCGUCCAAAAAGGAACACUGGCGAUAUUCUGUGCUAUAUUUGGGAAUAAACAAGUGCACUUAAAUUUAACAAAUGAGAAAGGGGAGACCCCGCUUGACAUAGCACAUUGCAAUAUUCCCAAAGUAUUGUUUUAUAACCAGGUAAUAUAUACCCAAGUGCAAUCAUUUUAUUUAGAAGCACAGCCUUGGAGAUGA
rnacentral:rRNA from 1 species